UUUCCUCUGUCUGUUGAUACGCAGCGAGAGAAAAAGGGGAUUGGAUUGAGAGGGAAAAUAUUGAGAAGAAAGAAAGAAAGCAAGUAAGAGGGGAGGGAGCAUGGCAUUGAAAUUCUUGAACAAGAAGGGAUGGCACACGGGCAGCCUCAGGAACAUUGAGAACGUGUGGAAGGCCGAGCAAAAGCAUGGCGCCGAGCAGAAGAAAUUGGAUGAGCUCCGCAAGCAGAUCCAGGAGGAGAGGGAACGCUCCGAGUUUCGUCUCCUUCAGGAGCAGGCCGGCCUCGUUCCUAAGCAGGAGAGAUUGGAAUUUCUGUACGAUUCGGGAUUAGCUGUGGGUAAGGGUAGUAAUUCCGAUGGAUUCAAGGCCCUCGAAGCAUUCCCCAAGGCUGGCACUGCCGCGGAAGCCUCCGACACUGCCAAGGCAUCGUCUUCGUCUUCGGCCGUGCCGGGUGCUUUGUUCGAAGAGAAGCCUCACUCUGCUAACGAUGCCUGGAGGAAACUCCAUACCGAUCCUUUGCUCAUGAUUCGACAGCGUGAGCAAGAAGCCCUUUCCCGCAUCAAGAACAACCCCGUCCAGAUGGCCAACAUUCGCAAAUCCGUUGAAGAACAAAAACACAAGAAGAAGGCACAUAGUGAAAAGGAACCCCAGAAGAAGCAUCAUCAUAGCAGUUCAAAGAAUAAAAAGCAUUCAUCCUCUAGACAACGAUCUGAUUCGGAAAAUGAUGCUGCUGAAAGGGGGAAAGCGAAGACUAGCAGACACAAGAACUCAAACUCUGAUUUGCAUUCAGUUUCUGAAGAUGAAUCUAGUAAAAGAGAGAGCCAAAGUAAGAAGGAUCGCCACAAGGGCUCAAAAUACAAAGAGUCAUCAUCCAGUGGCUUGUCAGGCCCAAAUACUGCAAACAAUAAUGGUCGAGAUGCUAACAAGAGGAAUCGUGACAAGUCGGAGCAAGAAAAAUUUUCUUCUGAAGGUCAGAGAAAUCUUGAUGUUGCAGAAAGGGGAAGGGAAAGCAGAAGGUAUCAUGAAGCAAGCCGUCAUGAUGGGACUGAGUCACACUACAAGCGCCGCAAUGUUGUUCCCAAGCUUUCAGAAGAAGAGCGGGCUGCUAGGCUGCGGGAGAUGCAAGUGGAUGCUGAAUUGCAUGAGGAACAAAGAUGGAAACGUUUGAGGAAGGCUGAGGAGGAUGAUGCACGAGAAGCUACCCGGGCUAGCACAUCUGGUGGCAGAAAUUUCUUGGAUGCUGCUCAGAAAAGUAUCUAUGGUGCUGAGAAAGGGGGAAGCUCAACAAUUGAGGAGAGUGUCCGUCGCCGAACACAUUACUCACAGGGUAGGUCUGAGGCACAUGAAAGAAAUGCUUUCCGGCGGUGAGGCAGUCGGGCAGUUGAUUGCUUCCUAUCCUGAUGAUUUUAGCUGGUACACAUCUUUGACUUUUAAGACAUGCAGCAACGAACUUUAGAAAAGAGCAAAAGUCAAUGAUUAAUUAGAUGCCUGGUUUUAGGUGAUAGAAUUUUCAAAGUUUGUUGUUGUAUUCUGUCUGGGUCAGUCUCAGAUGCCUUUAAUAUAAACAAUUCUUUUUCCCCAAUGUCCUCCUUUGACUAAAGCCAGCCAGCCAGCCAACCAGCCUGCCGCAGAACCACGAAGCUACGGUGAUACGAGACUUCCCAUAUUUUUCUUCGAAAGUAAGCUAACAUCAAGGAUUCAGUACUCUACAUAUGUCUAACAGUCAAAACAGAGCUGACCAAGCUUUGCAGAAGUUCAGAGGGAGAGGAGGUUGGAGGCGAGCAAGAGAAUUUUGACCUACAACAAGUAGGAGUUCUAAUAGUCGAUCGAUUGGAGCAAACCUUUUAACAACAGAGGUUUCCGUCAUAUUUUCAACAGGUUGGUUUGAGAUUUUUUUCGUUUGGGUUUCUGUUAUCAAAAUCUGCAGAGCAGAAUCAAUUGUUUCUGGGUCAUAUUCAGGGCUCUGCCUUUCAAAAUGGGAUGCAUUUCUUCAAAAUUCGUGACCAGAUCAACCAGUUUUCAUGAAGGGAAAAAUCAAAGUUUGCAGAGAGCCAAUGGCAUUCCUGUGCUGGAGGAACCAAACAUGUCCUCUAGUGGCAGCGACCACUAUCUUGCUCUUGUCAGCACUGCUAACAUGGUAGCCAAAAAACUCCAAUCUUGGGAUUCCAAUUCAAACACAUGUUCCAAACGAGACACUGAACCUGCUAGAAUUGAGACUGAUAACAAAUGGGAGUUGAUAGCAAGUUUAGAUCAAGGAGUAGUAGAGCAUGCCCAGCCAGCUCCAAAAGUAAUGGGAUCCAUUGAUACUGAUUUCAGAAGGCGGUCUAGAAGUUGUCAUUGGUCUCCAGAGCAUCGAGUGUCUUCCUUUGCUGUGGAGGUUACUGAGGGGAUUAAGGAAGAUAAAUCUUAUAGGCGUUAUAAGGGCAUGGCACGCAGCAGGAGUAUACACACAGUAGAAGAAUAUGAUGCAAUGUUAGAAAAUAUACGAUCUGGUGUGCAGCAAAGAUGGCUCAAUGGCAAGGAUUACGGUUCCAACAUGCAGCAGGAGUAUACCAACACGAAACCUCUUGGUUCCAAAACCUCAUCAAAGAAAUCUUACUAUGCCGAGGACAAAGAAGAGUCUGGUUUGCAGGAAAUGAAACAAUUGUGCUUAAAGGAUGAAGCUUUGGUACUUGAGUACACUACUGAAGACUUAAUGAGAUUGAGAUCAGAAGUAGAAACCAAGGUGGCAAUAACAAGUCCUAACAGCAACAGCUCAAGUUCAGGUCAAGAAAACCGAGAAGUGAUCCCAUCUCCUUGUAGCUCCAGCUCAACCAAGGAAUCACAUUUGUUUGAGGGUGCUGGUCAAGAAGGACGCAUGUUUGGGAAGGGAUUUAAAAGAGAGGAAAUAUCCGAGGAGCUAGAAUCACUGAGAAUCCCACCAAACUUUGAACUCCCAACAAUAUUAAGUCUUAGGGAAUGGCUUCAUGUUGGGGGUCAAGUCUACUCUCCUGGAUCUCAUGCCACUCCGAAGUUUGGUAGUUAUUCUUUACCAAUUCGUGGUACUGUAAGUGAAUGCAGUGAAGACUUCAUCUUCAAUCCAGAAUUGGUGGCUGCCUAUGAGCAAUGUAUGCACCAACUUGAAGCAGAAGAAGAAAGCGUUAUCCUGCAAAUUGUGGAGGGUUCUGAAGAAGAAUGUACUAAAGAUAAGCAUGUCAAAGUCAAUCCCGCAGAGAAAAUCAAGAGCAUGUAGUUCACAAUCCUCCCAUUAGGAGAUACAGCAAAGCAAUAUUAAAUAAACAAAUGUAGUGGUAAAUACAUAAUUGUCCUGUCAGGAAGGGAAUAAAACAUAUAUAUAUUUACAAAGAUUCAAGCAAUUCAAGUUAUAUCUAUCCCAUUUGAGUUUGAA